AAGCCAGGGGGGGACCUGAAAUGCCCAAGGCAGAACCCGAAAUCUCAAAGGGGAACACGAAAUCCCAAGGGGAAGAUGCUAAAAGUCGUGUUCUAGAACCCAAAAUCCCCAGGGGGAACCCCAAAAUCCGGGGGGGGAACCCCAAAAUCUGGGGGGGACACCAAAAACCAGGGGGGGACCUGAAAUGCCCAGGGCAGAACUCAAAAUCCCACAGGAGAAAUGAAAAUCCCAAAGGGGAAUCCAAAAUCCCAGAGGGAAGAUGCUAAAAGUCGUGUUCUAGAACCCAAAAUCCCCAGGGGGAACCCCAAAAUCCAGGGAGGGAACCCCCAAAAUCUGGGGGGGACACCAGAAGCCAGGGGGGGACCUGAAAUGCCCAAGGCAGAACCCGAAAAAUCCCCAGGGGGACCAAAAUUCCAGAGCAAAGAUCCUAAAAGUCGUGUUCUAGAACCCAAAAUCCCCAGGGGGACCCCCCAAAAUCUGGGGGGGACACCAGAAGCCAGGGGGGGACCUGAAAUGCCCAAGGCAGAACCCGAAAUCUCAAAGGGGAACACAAAAUUCCAGAGCAAAGAUCCUAAAAGUCGUGUUCUAGAACCCAAAAUCCCCAGGGGGACCCCCCAAAAUCUGGGGGGGACACCAGAAGCCAGGGGGGGACCUGAAAUGCCCAAGGCAGAACCCGAAAUCUCAAAGGGGAACACAAAAUUCCAGAGCAAAGAUCCUAAAAGUCGUGUUCUAGAACCCAAAAUCCCCAGGGGGACCCCCCAAAAUCUGGGGGGGACACCAGAAGCCAGGGGGGGACCUGAAAUGCCCAAGGCAGAACCCGAAAUCUCAAAGGGGAACACAAAAUUCCAGAGCAAAGAUCCUAAAAGUCGUGUUCUAGAACCCAAAAGUUGUGUUCUAGAACCCAAAAUCCCCAUGGGGAACCCCAAAAUCCAGGGGGGGACACCAAUUCCCAGGGGGUCCUGAAAUUCCUGGGGCAAAACCCAAAAUCCCAAAGGGCAACCCAAAAUCCCAAGGGGGAACCCGAAAUCCCAGAGGAAAGAUCCUAAAAGUCAUGUUCUAGAACCCAAAAGAACCCCAAAUCCAAAAGUGGGACCCAAAAAAUCCAUGGAACCCAAAGUCCAGAGGGGGAACCCAAAAAAUCAUGUCCAGGAACCCCAAAUUCAUUCUAGAACACCCAAAAUCUAAGGAGGAGAUCCUAAAAGUCAUGCUCUGGAACCCAAAAAAUCACGUUAUAGAACCCAAAAGUCACGUUCUAGAACCGAGAACUCCCAUCCUGGACCCCAAAACUCACGGUUUUUUAGAACCCCAAAUCCGUGGGGGAGAUCCCAAAACUCAUCAUCUGGAACCCAAACUCCAUGGGGGGGGUCCCAAAAAUUGUGUCCUGGAACCCAAAACCCACGCUCUAGAACCCAAAACCCAUGGGGGAGAUCCCAAAACUCAUCAUCUGGAACCCAAACUCCACGGGGGGGGGUCCCAAAAAGUGUGCCCUGGAACCCAAAACCCACAUUCUAGAACCCAAAACCCACGCUCUAGAACCCAAAAUCCGUGGGGGAGAUCCCAAAAGUCACAUCCUGGAACCCAAACUCCAUCGGGGGAGUCCCCAAAAGCGCACCCAGGAACCCAAAAGUCACAUUCUAGAACCCCAAAAUCCACGGGGGAGAUCCCAAAACUCAUCAUCUGGAACCCAAAUUCCAUGGGAGGGGGUCCCAAAAAGUGUGCCCUGGACCCCAAAACCCACGCUCUAGAACCCAAAACCCAUGGAGGAAAUCCCAAAAAUCCCAUUCUAGAACCCCAAAUCCAAGGCUGGUUCCCCCCAUGGGCGCCCCCCAAUGGGUGCCCCCCCCCCCA
rnacentral:lncRNA from 1 species